CAAGUGAAGAAGCGCAUACGGUGGAUGCCUUGGCAGUCAGAGGCGAUGAAAGACGUGGUAGCCUGCGAAAAGCUUCGGGGAGUCGGCAAACAGACUUUGAUCCGGAGAUGUCUGAAUGGGGGAACCCAGCCAUCAUAAGAUGGUUAUCUUGUACUGAAUACAUAGGUGCAAGAGGCGAACCAGGGGAACUGAAACAUCUAAGUACCCUGAGGAAAAGAAAUCAACCGAGAUUCCCUUAGUAGUGGCGAGCGAACGGGGACUAGCCCUUAAGUGGCUUUGAGAUUAGCGGAACGCUCUGGAAAGUGCGGCCAUAGUGGGUGAUAGCCCUGUACGCGAAAAUCUCUUAGUCAUGAAAUCGAGUAGGACGGAGCACGAGAAACUUUGUCUGAAUAUGGGGGGACCAUCCUCCAAGGCUAAAUACUACUGACUGACCGAUAGUGAACUAGUACCGUGAGGGAAAGGCGAAAAGAACCCCGGAGAGGGGAGUGAAAUAGAACCUGAAACCGUAUGCGUACAAGCAGUGGGAGCCCCUUCGUGGGGUGACUGCGUACCUUUUGUAUAAUGGGUCAGCGACUUAUUUUCAGUGGCGAGCUUAACCGAAUAGGGGAGGCGUAGCGAAAGCGAGUCUUAAUAGGGCGUCUAGUCGCUGGGAAUAGACCCGAAACCGGGCGAUCUAUCCAUGGGCAGGUUGAAGGUUGGGUAACACUAACUGGAGGACCGAACCGACUACCUUUGAAAAGUUAGCGGAUGACCUGUGGAUCGGAGUGAAAGGCUAAUCAAGCUCGGAGAUAGCUGGUUCUCCUCGAAAGCUAUUUAGGUAGCGCCUCAUGUAUCACUGUAGGGGGUAGAGCACUGUUUCGGCUAGGGGGUCAUCCCGACUUACCAAACCGAUGCAAACUCCGAAUACCUACAAGUGCCGAGCAUGGGAGACACACGGCGGGUGCUAACGUCCGUCGUGAAGAGGGAAACAACCCAGACCGCCAGCUAAGGUCCCAAAGAUUGGCUAAGUGGAAAACGAAGUGGGAAGGCUUAGACAGCUAGGAGGUUGGCUUAGAAGCAGCCACCCUUUAAAGAAAGCGUAAUAGCUCACUAGUCGAGUCGUCCUGCGCGGAAGAUGUAACGGGGCUCAAGCCAUGAACCGAAGCUGCGGAUGUGCAAUUUAUUGCACGUGGUAGGGGAGCGUUCUGUAAGCCUGCGAAGGUGUCUUGUAAAGGAUGCUGGAGGUAUCAGAAGUGCGAAUGCUGACAUGAGUAGCGUUAAAGGGGGUGAAAAGCCCCCUCGCCGAAAGCGCAAGGUUUCCUACGCAACGUUCAUCGGCGUAGGGUGAGUCGGCCCCUAAGGCGAGGCAGAGAUGCGUAGCUGAUGGGAAACAGGUCAAUAUUCCUGUACCGAUAUGUAGUGCGAUGUGGGGACGGAGAAGGUUAACUCAGCCGGGUGUUGGAUGUCCCGGUUCAAGCGUGUAGUCGUGCCCCUUAGGCAAAUCCGGGGGGAUUAGAUGAGGCGUGAUAACGAGGCGGCUUGCCGCUGAAGUGAGUGAUACCCUGCUUCCAGGAAAAGCCACUAAGCUCCAGCUACAUACGACCGUACCGCAAACCGACACUGGUGCGCGAGAUGAGUAUUCUAAGGCGCUUGAGAGAACUCUGGAGAAGGAACUCGGCAAAUUGACACCGUAACUUCGGAAGAAGGUGUGCCUUUAGUAGGUGAACCAUUUACUUGGGGAGCCCAAUGAGGCCGCAGAGAAUCGGUGGCUGCAACUGUUUAUUAAAAACACAGCACUCUGCAAAGACGAAAGUCGACGUAUAGGGUGUGACUCCUGCCCGGUGCUGGAAGAUUAAAUGAUGGGGUGCAAGCUCUUGAUUGAAGUCCCAGUAAACGGCGGCCGUAACAAUAACGGUCCUAAGGUAGCGAAAUUCCUUGUCGGGUAAGUUCCGACCUGCACGAAUGGCGUAACGAUGGCCACACUGUCUCCUCCUGAGACUCAGCGAAGUUGAAAUGUUUGUGAAGAUGCAAUCUCCCCGCGGCUAGACGGAAAGACCCCAUGAACCUUUACUGUAGCUUUACAUUGGACUUUGAACCAAUCUGUGUAGGAUAGGUGGGAGGCUUUGAAGCGGGGACGCCAGUUCUCGUGGAGCCAACCUUGAAAUACCACCCUGGUUUGUUUGAGGUUCUAACCUUGGCCCGUUAUCCGGGUCGGGGACAGUGCAUGGUAGGCAGUUUGACUGGGGCGGUCUCCUCCUAAAGUGUAACGGAGGAGUUCGAAGGUACGCUAGGUACGGUCGGACAUCGUGCUAAUAGUGCAAUGGCAUAAGCGUGCUUAACUGCGAGACCGACAAGUCGAGCAGGUACGAAAGUAGGACAUAGUGAUCCGGUGGUUCUGUAUGGAAGGGCCAUCGCUCAACGGAUAAAAGGUACUCUGGGGAUAACAGGCUGAUUCCUCCCAAGAGUUCAUAUCGACGGGGGAGUUUGGCACCUCGAUGUCGGCUCAUCACAUCCUGGGGCUGUAGCCGGUCCCAAGGGUAUGGCUGUUCGCCAUUUAAAGUGGUACGUGAGCUGGGUUUAAAACGUCGUGAGACAGUUUGGUCCCUAUCUGCCGUGGGCGUUGGAAAUUUGAAGGGGGCUGCUCCUAGUACGAGAGGACCGGAGUGGACGAACCUCUGGUGUACCGGUUGUCACGCCAGUGGCAUUGCCGGGUAGCUAAGUUCGGAAGAGAUAACCGCUGAAAGCAUCUAAGCGGGAAACUUGCCUUAAGAUGAGAUUUCCCGGAGCCUUGAGCUCUUUGAAGGGUCGUUCGAGACCAGGACGUUGAUAGGUCAGGUGUGGAAGCGCAGUAAUGCGUUAAGCUAACUGAUACUAAUUGCCCGUGCGGCU
rnacentral:rRNA from 1 species